CAGAAACAAGUAGGUCUUCUGGACUCCUAGGGAGAGUAAGAGGCAAUUAAGGAAUGUGAUGAUUAUGUACCAUCCACCCAGCCCUGAAAAGAUUAAUGAGGGCCUGAGAGGCCAGUUAUGUUAUCUGGCUGCAUCUGGAGGUGGGCCCAAGCUUAGGGAUGAAGCCCAGCUGUGGAGGAGCUGGGUAGUGACUAUAAAGGCAGGAAGUUUAGCACAGAAGGAGGUAGGGAGAGAGUCCGCAGUCUCUCUGAGAUUAUCAAGAGAAGACCCUGGGAUUCUUACCUGAUUAGAGUAGGCAGCCAGGUGGCUCCACAUGCUGCCCCGCCCCAGGUGCCAGUUCCACAACUCCCAUUGGCUGGGAACCGUGGGCAAUGGGAGCUGUGGGAGUGGUGCCUGUGGACAGGGCAGAGCUGCCUGGCUGCACCUCUGUGUUGGAGUGGGGACAUGCCGCUGCUUCUGGGAGCUGCUUGAGAUGAGCUGUUUCCCUAAUUGCAAUACAUUGACUCUACCAUUCGGAGGAGCCUGUGCCACAGAAUGAUAAACUGAAGUUAUCCAGCAAAGAGGAGUCUUCACUUGUGAAACAGUCGGAACACAACCCAGAGGUCCUUGGUCAGUUCAGCUGCUGCCACUGCAGCCUUGAGGGGGUUCCCCUUCUACACCUGUGGAACACCUGAGCCAGAUAAGGAGGAGAAAGAAGAGGACUUGGAAAGACCUGUUCAGUGAGAUCCUCUGCUGCUUCAGACUGUGAACAAAGGGCCUGGAGGGUGAACAUUGCAGACAGCCUGAGGGAGGAAGAUGUGGACAGGUGGAAGGUUCAGGAAUCUCAGUAGAAAAGGGAGAUGCACCAAGACGUAAUGGGCCUUUUCUGGCAGCAAACACAAAUGCUGCAGUCUCUUGGGGACCUACAGGGUCACCUCCCUUUGCAGUCCAUGGAGAACUCCAUUAUAGCCCCUCCUUGCAUCCUCAUCUCAACAUUGCACGUUGUAUCAGUGGCUGCAUCCCUACACCUGCCACUCCACCUCUCAGGACAUUAAGGACAACCACAGCUUCACAUACACUGAGCUGGGAAAGCCAUGGUUGCUGUACGUGUAGGUAAAGUUGACAUAAAUGUUUUUUCCCUUGUUAAGUUCUGUUCCAUUAAUUUUAUUAAUUUUUUUAUGUAUUUACUUUUGAAUUGCACAGCUUUUUCUUUCCACUGGUUUUGUUAAUGAAUA